AUUGAACAUAAGAGUUUGAUCCUGGCUCAGAUUGAACGCUGGCGGCAUGCUUUACACAUGCAAGUCGGACGGCAGCACAGGGAAGCUUGCUUCUCGGGUGGCGAGUGGCGAACGGGUGAGUAACAUAUCGGAACGUACCGGGUAGCGGGGGAUAACUGAUCGAAAGAUCAGCUAAUACCGCAUACGUCUUGAGAGGGAAAGCAGGGGACCUUCGGGCCUUGCGCUAUCCGAGCGGCCGAUAUCUGAUUAGCUGGUUGGCGGGGUAAAGGCCCACCAAGGCGACGAUCAGUAGCGGGUCUGAGAGGAUGAUCCGCCACACUGGGACUGAGACACGGCCCAGACUCCUACGGGAGGCAGCAGUGGGGAAUUUUGGACAAUGGGCGCAAGCCUGAUCCAGCCAUGCCGCGUGUCUGAAGAAGGCCUUCGGGUUGUAAAGGACUUUUGUCAGGGAAGAAAAGGACGUUGCCAAUAUCGGCGGCCGAUGACGGUACCUGAAGAAUAAGCACCGGCUAACUACGUGCCAGCAGCCGCGGUAAUACGUAGGGUGCGAGCGUUAAUCGGAAUUACUGGGCGUAAAGCGGGCGCAGACGGUUACUUAAGCAGGAUGUGAAAUCCCCGGGCUCAACCCGGGAACUGCGUUCUGAACUGGGUGACUCGAGUGUGUCAGAGGGAGGUGGAAUUCCACGUGUAGCAGUGAAAUGCGUAGAGAUGUGGAGGAAUACCGAUGGCGAAGGCAGCCUCCUGGGAUAACACUGACGUUCAUGUCCGAAAGCGUGGGUAGCAAACAGGAUUAGAUACCCUGGUAGUCCACGCCCUAAACGAUGUCAAUUAGCUGUUGGGCAACUUGAUUGCUUGGUAGCGUAGCUAACGCGUGAAAUUGACCGCCUGGGGAGUACGGUCGCAAGAUUAAAACUCAAAGGAAUUGACGGGGACCCGCACAAGCGGUGGAUGAUGUGGAUUAAUUCGAUGCAACGCGAAGAACCUUACCUGGUUUUGACAUGUGCGGAAUCCUCCGGAGACGGAGGAGUGCCUUCGGGAGCCGUAACACAGGUGCUGCAUGGCUGUCGUCAGCUCGUGUCGUGAGAUGUUGGGUUAAGUCCCGCAACGAGCGCAACCCUUGUCAUUAGUUGCCAUCAUUCGGUUGGGCACUCUAAUGAGACUGCCGGUGACAAGCCGGAGGAAGGUGGGGAUGACGUCAAGUCCUCAUGCCCUUAUGACCAGGGCUUCACACGUCAUACAAUGGUCGGUACAGAGGGUAGCCAAGCCGCGAGGCGGAGCCAAUCUCACAAAACCGAUCGUAGUCCGGAUUGCACUCUGCAACUCGAGUGCAUGAAGUCGGAAUCGCUAGUAAUCGCAGGUCAGCAUACUGCGGUGAAUACGUUCCCGGGUCUUGUACACACCGCCCGUCACACCAUGGGAGUGGGGGAUACCAGAAGUAGGUAGGGUAACCGCAAGGAGUCCGCUUACCACGGUAUGCUUCAUGACUGGGGUGAAGUCGUAACAAGGUAGCCGUAGGGGAACCUGCGGCUGGAUCACCUCCUUUCUAG
rnacentral:rRNA from 1 species